UUUCUGUGAUGAAUCCAACUAGCUUACUAUGAAUUAAAUAAUGAAAAGACAUGAACACCUGAAAAAC
ensembl:snoRNA SNORD29 Small nucleolar RNA SNORD29